AAAUGACUUACACCAGGAGACGGAGUAGGAGACACAGGAAGAUAACAGGCGGAACCAAAGGGGAUCAAGUGAAACCGGAAAUGGUAAAUCAAGAGGACCUUGGUCAAUUUCCCUCCAGUAUGGAGAACCUGGGUCAUUUCAGCAACUCUUUGGUGGUUUUAGGAUGGCAAAUUCUGCAACACUUUCCAAAUAGGCUGGAGCAGUCCUUUCAACAACAGACGUUGGACCUGGAUGAUAUUGAGCUCCUCUGCAUGAAUACAUAGACUCUAACGCAAUUUCC